CAGUCUACUGUUCUGGUGUGCUAUUCCGUCUCCUUGGGGCUCUUGAGAACAGAAAAGGUGGUUGCUGUUGCUCCAGCUGAAGAAGUCCCUGCAGCUCCCUAAUUCAAUCUCCUCCAUAGCAACUUCUGCAGACUUUCUGCAUUCCGAUUUUCUAGGGUAGUUACCUGACCUCUCCUGGGCACAUUGUACUGCUGCUUUAGUGCUGGUUCUGAACCGGAUGCUCUGACAGAGUUGUCCUUCUCUUGCUGUUCAAAGUGGAAUGGCUCCCUCUUCUGGAGAAAGCUGGUAGUGGAAAGAAAGGGGAAUUGCAAGCAGACGUUCACAAAGAGAAGUUGCAGAUGGCAAGGCACUAGAUUACUACAGCACUUUUUUGUGUCUUGGAGCUUUCUGAAAAAUCACACAUCAUAAAAAUUUUCCUGCUGUGGAACAAUGUCAUUUGUCCUUAAGUUUGUUAGCAUUUGAGAGAACAGCUGUCAUAAAUUACAACAUUAUUAGCAAAUGUGGAUGAAAUAUUGUGCUGCUGCCCAGCAUGUUUUUAGUCUCAAGUUACAUGACUGAGCAGAAUUCUAAAACAGGCACAGAAAAAAAAGAACAAUUUCUCUGGUCAGAGUUACAGGAUGACUAUGUCAGUUUGGAGAGCAUGUUCUGUAAGGUCUAGAAGAGCUUUGUGUGUUUAACCUAGAAAAGCUAAGGCAAUAGGUUUGUUCUCUUCAUUAAUUGUGGGGAACUUAAGUUGAGAAGAAUGUUGCUGUCAUGAGAACAAGUGGGUAUAAAUUCUUUAAAAAUUAAAAAAAUAAAAAGGAAAUCUUUUGAUAGGAGAGACGUUCUUUGGUAAGAAUAGUGGGAGGAAAAGAUGGAUUUUGAUUUGUUUUGUGAACUGAGAUCACGUUAUAUAAGAGAAGUGGCAGAACUGGAUAACAGAAAUUAUUUUUAGUCUGGUUUAUUUUGCUUUGAGUCAAUAGACAGAAGUGUUAGAUGACCUCACAAUUCUUCUUCUU